UACCAGCACCCCGAGUGGUCGGGACGCUUAUUGGGCCUAAAGCGUCCGUAGCCGGUUUUACAAGUCCUCCGUUAAAUCCAACUGCUUAACAGAUGGGCCGCGGAGGAUACUAUAAGACUAGGAGGCAGGAGAGGCAAGCGGUACUCAGUGGGUAGGGGUAAAAUCCGUUGAUCCAUUGAAGACCACCAGUGGCGAAGGCGGCUUGCCAGAAUGCGCUCGACGGUGAGGGAUGAAAGCUGGGGGAGCAAACCGG
rnacentral:rRNA from 1 species